rnacentral:lncRNA from 10 species
AAACCUAAGUCAUCUGAUUUCAGAGCCCAUACAGUUAAAUGCUCUAAAUGCAGCUUCCCGUGAUGAUGGUGACUAUGAGAGCCUGUCACAUGAUGUAGGACAGUGCUUCCCUGUAACAUGCACAAUAUUCCCGUGAUGAUAGUGACUAUGAGACCCUGUCACCUACGAUGUAGAACAGUGCUUCCCUGUAACAUGCACAAGAUCACAUGAUGAUGGUGAUUAUGAGAGCCUGUCACAUACGAUGUAGGACAGUGCUUCCCUGUAACAUGUGCAAGAUUCCCGUGAUGAUGGUGACUAUGAGAGCCUGUCACAUAUGAUGUAGGACAGUGCUUCCCUGUAACAUGUGCAAGAUUCCCAUGAUGAUGGUGACUAUGAGAGCCUGUCACAUAGGAUGUAGGACAGUGCUUCCCUGUAACAUGCACAAGAUUCACCCAGGGAUCUCUUUAAAAUGCAAAACCAUAGACCACACUUUGACUGGCUUGGAUAAGGGGUCAGAGCAUCGAAAUGAGUGUGUAGGUGACUGUGCUAAAAUUCUCCUGCUCAUGUGGGCACUGGCUCAUGAUAUUAACAAAGCUUAGGACCUCUAGUCCUUUCUGGAAAGAAAAUACACAUACAUAGCAUGUGACUGUGCAUAUGGAAUAUCUGUUGUGUUCUGGACAUUGUGCUGGACAACAGAGAUAAGAAGUCAAAUAUCCCUUGUCUCUAUCUGAAAGGAGCUUCC